rnacentral:lncRNA from 1 species
CCCCUAGCCUUGGAAUUUCCAUAUACCACUGGUGUGGCCCCUAAAAAUCAAACAAAACAAAACAAAAACAAAAACAAAAAAACCCCUGCAGUUUGGGUUACCAUCAGUCACCCUCCUAAGACUUCCUAAAUUCCUGCAGUAACAUUAGUUUAGAGAUGUGGUAAUAUUUUUCUUAAAGACCUUUUAGGCUUCUAUUGAAUAAUUCAACAAUCUAAUGGAACUCAUAUCAUUGGAUCCUAGAUUUCCUCUAUUUAGAGGAAACAUAGACUCAUUUAUAGAUGAGUGGUCUCUAAAGUGAAGUAUUUGUACCUGGUGGACAUACAAGACAACCUUUUGGAGAAGAGUAAGAAAAUAUUUCAAUUAAGAUUUAUUUAUAUAUUUAGCCACAUCUGCGGCUUGUGGAAGUUCCCCGGGCCAGGAAUCAAACCUGUGCCAUAGUAGCAACUAGAGCCACAGCAAUGACAAUGUCAGAUCCUUAACCGGCUGAACCACCAGGGAACUCCUGACAUUUAUUUAUUUAUUUAUUUAUUAUCGCUGCAUCCACAGCAUAUGGAAGUUCCCAGCAGGCUAGGUGUUGACUCGGAGCUGCAGCUGCAGGCCUACACCACAGCCACAGCAACACCAAUCCUGCUGCUUGCAGUAGCAUGGAACCCUUAACCCAGAAAUAAGUUUUGUUUUCAAGUUCCAGUCACAGCAGGCUCCCGCCUCUCAGGGUCUCUGUGAUUCUCUAAACUGCCAACUUCUUACAAUAUUAUUUCUAAUUUGGAGUUCCCUUCAUGGCUCAAAGGGAGCGAAUCUGACCAGUAACCCUGAGGAUACAGGUUCGAUACCUGGCCUCACUCAGUGGAUUAAGGAUCUGGCAUUGCCAAGUGAACUGUGGUGUAGGUUGCAGAUGAAGCUCAGAACCCGCAUUGCUGUGGCUGUGGUGUAGGCUGGCAGCUGUGGCUCUGAUUUGACCCCUAGCCUGGGAACCUCCAUAUGCUGCAAGUGCAGCCCUAAAAAGACA